UUGGAGCAGAGGUUUUUGCCAACAAUGCAGUAGGUUCCACCAAUUAACUGAAUUCGAUCAAGUAAAACGAAGCUGCCGCAGACGCUUAGCAGGCCACAACGAGCGCCGGAGGAAGCCACCUCUUACAUCCUUAUCACCUCGCAUGGGACGAUUUUCUUCCUCAUUCUCAGAAGAUAACAAUAGAUACAGAGGAUCUAUGAUGGAUUUCAGUUAUGCUAGACAGACAGGCAGAAGCGGUAGCGGCGGUGGCGUUGGCAGCAGCAAUGCAAUGCCUUUGUUGAGGCAAGGGGAGUUAAAUACUCUAGCCUGUGGCAUUGCGCCUCAUAGUUUCCAAUUCCAUCCAUAUAUGCAAAGUUCAACUGGGGAAACCUUAUUCUCCGGCCUAGGAAUAUCCUCUCCGGGAGUUUCGGACUCGA